GAAAGGCCUAUAUGUUGAGCUAGCAGCUCUCUAGUGUUGCUAAUGAAUAAUUAAAAAUAACAGUCUUUAUGUGAGGCUUGACAGUAUACAUGUCCUUUAAGUAUAUCCUGCUUUGUAAGGAACUUGGCAAAAUGACAGCCCAAGAAAGGCAUCCCACUGCAUCCUGUGCAGACACAGCGAGCGCUCUGGAGGAUGACGGUGAUGUACUCAAGAUGGUUGUGAAAGAAAAGGGCAAUCAAUUCAGAGUGAAAAGCCUUGAAAAACAUCAGUUUGCAUAACAAAAAGAACCUUUACCUGCCAGGUGGGUUAUACUGAUUUUCUGCAGGGAGAGGGGACUCCUGGAGCACAGCACUCAGUGCUCAUCCGUGCUUGGGAAUAGCUCCAC
rnacentral:lncRNA from 1 species